UAGACAUUCUGAUACCCCACUGU
rnacentral:miRNA from 1 species